AAACGAUAUUGGAAGCUUGCUUCCGAUAGGCGUCGACCGGCGCACGGGUGAGUAACGCGUAUCCAACCUGCCCACCACUUGGGAAUAACCUUGCGAAAGUAAGACUAAUACCCAAUGAUAUCUCAAGAAGACAUCUGAAUGAGAUUAAAGAUUUAUCGGUGAUGGAUGGGGAUGCGUCUGAUUAGCUUGUUGGCGGGGUAACGGCCCACCAAGGCGACGAUCAGUAGGGGUUCUGAGAGGAAGGUCCCCCACAUUGGAACUGAGACACGGUCCAAACUCCUACGGGAGGCAGCAGUGAGGAAUAUUGGUCAAUGGGCGAGAGCCUGAACCAGCCAAGUAGCGUGCAGGAUGACGGCCCUAUGGGUUGUAAACUGCUUUUAUAAGGGAAUAAAGUGAGCCUCGUGAGGCUUUUUGCAUGUACCUUAUGAAUAAGGACCGGCUAAUUCCGUGCCAGCAGCCGCGGUAAUACGGAAGGUCCGGGCGUUAUCCGGAUUUAUUGGGUUUAAAGGGAGCGUAGGCCGGAGAUUAAGCGUGUUGUGAAAUGUAGAUGCUCAACAUCUGCACUGCAGCGCGAACUGGUUUCCUUGAGUACGCACAAAGUGGGCGGAAUUCGUGGUGUAGCGGUGAAAUGCUUAGAUAUCACGAAGAACUCCGAUUGCGAAGGCAGCUCACUGGAGCGCAACUGACGCUGAAGCUCGAAAGUGCGGGUAUCGAACAGGAUUAGAUACCCUGGUAGUCCGCACGGUAAACGAUGGAUGCCCGCUGUUGGUCUGAAUAGGUCAGCGGCCAAGCGAAAGCAUUAAGCAUCCCACCUGGGGAGUACGCCGGCAACGGUGCAACUCAAAUGAAUUGAAAGAAUCAGU
rnacentral:rRNA from 1 species